rnacentral:rRNA from 1 species
ACAAUGGAGAGUUUGAUCCUGGCUCAGGAUUAACGCUAGCGGCAGGCCUAAUACAUGCAAGUCGAACGGGAUUUCGGUUAGCAAUAAUUGAAUGAGAGUGGCGCACGGGUGCGUAACACGUAUGCAACCUACCUAUAACUGGGGGAUAGCCUCCCGAAAGGGAGAUUAACACCGCAUAACAUUAUGAAAUGGCAUCAUUUUAUAAUUAAAUCUACGGAGGUUAUAGAUGGGCAUGCGUCCGAUUAGCUAGUUGGUGAGGUAACGGCUCACCAAGGCUCCGAUCGGUAGGGGGUCUGAGAGGAUGAUCCCCCACACUGGUACUGAGACACGGACCAGACUCCUACGGGAGGCAGCAGUAAGGAAUAUUGGACAAUGGGCGCAAGCCUGAUCCAGCCAUGCCGCGUGAAGGAUGAAGGCCCUAUGGGUCGUAAACUUCUUUUAUACGGGACAAAACCCCCCGAUGCGUCGGGGGUUGAUGGUACUGUAAGAAUAAGGGUCGGCUAACUUCGUGCCAGCAGCCGCGGUAAUACGAAGGACCCGAGCGUUAUCCGGAUUUAUUGGGUUUAAAGGGUGCGUAGGCGGAUUAGUAAGUCAGUGGUGAAAGCCCAUCGCUUAACGGUGGAACUGCCAUUGAUACUGCUAGUCUUGAGUAUGGUUGAGGUGGGCGGAAUGUGUCAUGUAGCGGUGAAAUGCUUAGAUAUGACCCAGAACACCAAUUGCGAAGGCAGCUCGCUAAGCCAUAACUGACGCUGAUGCACGAAAGCGUGGGGAGCAAACAGGAUUAGAUACCCUGGUAGUCCACGCCCUAAACUAUGAUCACUCGUUGUUGGCGAUACACAGUCAGCGACUAAGGGAAACCAUUAAGUGAUCCACCUGGGGAGUACGACCGCAAGGUUGAAACUCAAAGGAAUUGACGGGGGCCCGCACAAGCGGAGGAGCAUGUGGUUUAAUUCGAUGAUACGCGAGGAACCUUACCUGGGCUUGAAAGUUAGUG